GAGGUGUGGACCUCUGGGGAACCUACCUGAAGAGACUGGCAUGAACUGUUAGGGGGCUCUAGGGAACCUGGAUGCUUGGACCUGCGUGAUCUGACAGAGCGAGGAAUGACAGGCAGGCAAGCCCAGCGAGGUACUGCAAGGCAGCAGCCUGAGGCUCAGGAGCAAAGUCUGGGAGGCAAGAACAGAGCUCAUAGCUAACUCCUUACAUAAUUACUGGUGCCUCUGAACUUUACAAAGACGCGGGAGAAGGAGCCCACUGGAAGCUGAUUCAGCUUAGACAGGAGGAGGUCUCUAUGCAGACUUGGCCAACACACAAAAACAGGAAGAUCUCAAGACCCAAUACCAGUUCUGGAGACCCUGGCUGCACAUCCAAUUUCUAAGGGUUCAAGUUAGCUGUGCACUGCAAGCAAGCAGUCUCUCACAAAUGGAAAGAGGCCACGACAACUAUACAUCCCAGAGAAACUAUGACACAGCUCAUUUCUCCUCCCUAGCAGGCACUCAUGCAAGCAAACACCCCUGCUGGCUGAUCUCGCACCCAUCCACAAGCCACUUGUCAUAAUUCAAAGACCCAAAACAAACAAGCCACCCCUGAGACCCAUUCUGGCUGCAAGCAGCACCCCAUUCCUGAGGGAAGGGCACUCUAUAUCGCACCCCCCCUCCUGGGAGGGGGUGUCUUUGGCAGAA
rnacentral:lncRNA from 1 species